CGGGUGCACUGAUCCAGCCGGGCCUUUCCCUCUGUGGAACCCCAUGGCCUUCACUGGCUGUGGUGGGGAAACAGGACUUUUACUUUGAAAAAAUUAGAGUGCUCCAGGCAGGCCUAUGCUCGAAUACAUUAGCAUGGAAUCAUAGAAUAGGACGUGUGGUUCUAUUUUGUUGGUUUCUAGGACCGCCGUAAUGAUUAAUAGGGACAGUCGGGGGCAUCAGUAUUCAAUUGUCAGAGGUGAAAUUCUUGGAUCUAUUGAAGACUAACUACUGCGAAAGCAUUUGCCAAGGAUGUUUUCAUUGAUAAGGAACGAAAGUUAGGGGAUCGAAGACGAUCAGAUACCGUCGUAGUCUUAACUAUAAACUAUGCCGACUAGGGAUCGGAUGAUGUUAUUCUUUGACGCGUUCGGCACCUUUCGAGAAAUCAAAGUGCUUGGGCUCCAGGGGGAGUAUGGUCGCAAGGCUGAAACUUAAAGAAAUUGACGGAAGGGCACCACCAGGGGUGGAACCUGCGGCUUAAUUUGACUCAACACGGGGAAACUCACCAGGUCCAGACACAGUGAGGAUUGACAGAUUGAGAGCUCUUUCUUGAUUCUGUGGGUGGUGGUGCAUGGCCGUUCUUAGUUGGUGGAGUGAUUUGUCUGCUUAAUUGCGAUAACGAACGAGACCUUAACCUGCUAAAUAGCCCGUACUGCUUUGGCAGUUCGCCGGCUUCUUAGAGGGACUAUCGG
rnacentral:rRNA from 1 species